GACGAACGCUGGCGGCGUGCUUAACACAUGCAAGUCGAACGAGACGAUUUAGAAGCUUGCUUUUAUUGAGUCGAGUGGCAAACGGGUGAGUAACGCGUAGACAACCUGCCGCAAAGAUGGGGACAACAGUCCGAAAGGACUGCUAAUACCGAAUGUUGUAUCUCCUCCGCAUGGAAGAGAUAUUAAAGAUGGCCUCUACUUGUAAAGCUAUCGCUUUGCGAUGGGUCUGCGUCUGAUUAGCUAGUUGGUGGGCAACGGCCUUACCAAGUCGACGAUCAGUAGCCGGACUGAGAGGUUGACCGGCCA
rnacentral:rRNA from 1 species